UGGGGAAUAUUGCACAAUGGGCGAAAGCCUGAUGCAGCGACGCCGCGUGAGGGAUGACGGCCUUCGGGUUGUAAACCUCUUUCAGCAGGGACGAAGCGCAAGUGACGGUACCUGCAGAAGAAGCACCGGCUAACUACGUGCCAGCAGCCGCGGUAAUACGUAGGGUGCAAGCGUUGUCCGGAAUUACUGGGCGUAAAGAGUUCGUAGGCGGUUUGUCGCGUCGUUUGUGAAAACCAGCAGCUCAACUGCUGGCUUGCAGGCGAUACGGGCAGACUUGAGUACUGCAGGGGAGACUGGAAUUCCUGGUGUAGCGGUGAAAUGCGCAGAUAUCAGGAGGAACACCGGUGGCGAAGGAGGGUCUCUGGGCAGUAACUGACGCUGAGGAACGAAAGCGUGGGUAGCGAACAGG
rnacentral:rRNA from 1 species